GGAGGACUAGGAUAAUGGUAAUCCAGCGGUCUUGAAAACCGCCGGCCUUGCGGCCUUGGGGGUUCGAGUCCCUCGUCCUCCG
rnacentral:tRNA from 1 species